rnacentral:rRNA from 1 species
UACGUAGGGUGCAAGCGUUGUCCGGAAUUAUUGGGCGUAAAGAGCUCGUAGGCGGUCUGUCGCGUCGGAUGUGGAAAUCCAGGGCUCAACCCUGGACCUGCAUUCGAUACGGGCAGACUAGAGUUCGGUAGGGGAGACUGGAAUUCCUGGUGUAGCGGUGAAAUGCGCAGAUAUCAGGAGGAACACCGGUGGCGAAGGCGGGUCUCUGGGCCGAAACUGACGCUGAGGAGCGAAAGCGUGGGGAGCAAACAGG